GGUCCCAUGGCUUAGAUGGCAAAGCGCCUGCCUAGUAAGCCUCGAUCAUGCGUUCGAGUCUCAUUGGGACCU
rnacentral:tRNA from 1 species